rnacentral:rRNA from 1 species
CAAUAGCGUAUAUUAAAGUUGUUGCAGUUAAAAAGCUCGUAGUUGAAUGUCUGGUAGGGCUGGACCGGAGUUGCCGCACUUGCGGCUCCUUUCUGCGUCUGGGCCGGCCAUCCUGGGACUCAAAAUUGUGUUCCUCAUUUACUGUAAAAAAAUCAGAGCGUUUCAAGCAGGACGUAUGUCCGGUAUGUAUUAGUACGGAAUAAUAAGAUAGGACUUUGGUGCUAUUUUGUUGGUUUGCACACCAAGGUAAUGAUUAAUAGGAACAGUUGGGGGUAUUUGUAUUUGGCUGUCAGAGGUGAAAUUCUUGGAUUUGCAAAAGACAAACGACUGCGAAAGCAUUUACCAAGGAUGUUUUCAUUAA